rnacentral:rRNA from 1 species
GUCUACGGCCAUGCUACCCUGAACAAGCCCAAUCUGGUCUGAUCUCGGAAGCUAAGCAGGGUUGGGCCUGGUUAGUACUUGGAUGGGAGACCACUUAGGAAGACCAGGUGCUGUAGGCA